CUGCCCUUUGUACACACCGCCCGUCGCUACUACCGAUUGAAUGAUUUAGUGAGGUCUUCGGAUAGGUGCGCGGUGACGUUUCGACGUCGCCGAUGUUGCCGAGAAGAUGACCGAACUUGAUUAUUUAGAGGAAGUAAAAGUCGUAACAAGGUUUCCGUAGGUGAACCUGCGGAAGGAUCAUUA
rnacentral:rRNA from 1 species